rnacentral:rRNA from 1 species
CAGCAGCCGCGGUAAUACCAGCUCUCCGAGUGGUAGGGACGAUUAUUGGGCUUAAAGCGUCCGUAGCCGGCCCGGCAAGUCUUCCGUUAAAUCCAACGAUUCAAUCGUUGGACUGCGGGAGAUACUGUUGGGCUAGGAGGCGGGAGAGGCCGACGGUAUUCUCGGGGUAGGGGUAAAAUCCUAUAAUCCCGGGAAGACCACCAGUGGCGAAGGCGGUCGGCUAGAACGCGCUCGACGGUGAGGGACGAAAGCUGGGGGAGCGAACCGGAUUAGAUACCCGGGUAGUCCCAGCUGUAAACGAUGCGGGCUAGGUGUUGGAGCGGUUACGGGCCGCUUCAGUGCCGCAGGGAAACCAUUAAGCCCGCCGCCUGGGGAGUACGGCCGCAAGGCUGAAACUUAAAGGAAUUGGCGGGGGAGCACCACAAGGGGUGAAGCUUGCGGUUUAAUUGGAGUCAACGCCGGAAAACUUACCGGGGGCGACAGCAGGAUGAAGGCCAGAUUGAAGGUCUUGCUGGACGAGCUGAGAGGAGGUGCAUGGCCGUCGCCAGUUCGUGCCGUGAGGUGUCCUGUUAAGUCAGGCAACGAUCGAGACCCACGCCCCCUGUUGCCACCGGGGAGGUUUCUCCAAGGGGCACUCUGGGGGGACUGCCGUCGAUAAGGCGGAGGAAGGAGUGGGCCACGGCAGGUCAGUAUGCCCCGAAUCCCCCGGGCCACACGCGAGCUGCAAUGGCUGGGACAGUGGGUUCCGACCUCGAAAGGGGGAGGUAAUCCCUAAACCCAGCCGUAGUUGGGAUCGAGGGCUGAAACUCGCCCUCGUGAACAUGGAAUCCCUAGUAAUCGCGCGUCAUCAUCGCGCGGUGAAUACGUCCCCGCUCCUUGCACACACCGCCCG